GCCCCUGUAGCUCAGUUGGUAGAGCACGUCCUUGGUAAGGACGAGGUCACCGGUUCGAUUCCGAUCGGGGGCU
rnacentral:tRNA from 1 species